rnacentral:rRNA from 1 species
AAGUUGUUGCGGUUAAAAAGCUCGUAGUUGGAUCUGUGUGACACGCUGUCGGUUCACUGUUUUGAUGGUGUUUAACUGACAUGUCGUGGCACGUCCUGCCGGUUGGUAACGUGUUCUCCUUUCGGGGUGUUAUGCGUUUACCAGUUCCAAUCCUGUCGCGGUGCUCUUCACCGAGUGUCGAGGCGGGCCGGCACGUUUACCUUGAACAAAUUUGAGUGCUUAAAGCAGGCUUAUAUUGCCGGAAAACUGUGUGCAUGGAAUAAUAUAAUAGGACUUCGGUUCUAUUUUGUUGGUUUUCAGAAUCCGAGGUAAUGAUUAAAAGGGCCUGGCGGGGGCAUUAGUAUUGCGACGUGAGAGGUGAAAUUCUUGGACCGUCGCAAGACUAACUGAAGCGAAAGCGUUUGCCAAGAAUGCUUCCAUUAAUCAAGAACGAAAGUUAGAGGUUCGAAGGCGAUCAGAUACCGCCCUAGUUCUAACCAUAAAUGAUGCCAGCCAGCGAUCCGUCGUCGCUCUUUUAUGACGUGACGGGCAGCUUCAGGGAAACUAAAGCUUUUGGGUUCCGGGGGAAGUAUGGUUGCAAAGCUGAAACUUAAAGGAAUUGACGGAAAGGCACCACCAGGAGUGGAGCCUGCGGCUUAAUUUGACUCAACACGGGAAAUCUCACCAGGCCAGAACACCAGGUGGAUUGACAGAUUGAGAGCUCUUUCUUGAUUUGGUGGGUGGUGGUGCAUGGCCGUUCUUAGUUGGUGGAGCGAUUUGUCUGGUUAAUUCCGAUAACGAACGAGACUCCAGCCUACUAAAUAGACGUAUAUUUUACCAGUAUCUUUGCUACUGGCGGUUUAAUCUCUUCUUAGAGGGACAGGCGGCUCCUAGCCGCACGAGACGGAGCAAUAACAGGUCUGUAAUGCCCUUAGAUGUUCUGGGCCGCACGCGCGCUACACUGAAGGAAUCAACGUGUGAUCUACCCUUGGCCGAAAGGUCCGGGUAACCCGUUGAAACUCCUUCGUGCUAGGGAUUGGGGCUUGCAAUUCUUCCCCAUGAACGAGGAAUUCCUAGUAAAUAUGAGUCAUAAGCUCGUGUUGAUUAAGUCCCUGCCUUUUGUGCACACCGCCCGUCGCUACUACCGAUUGAACGAUUUAGUGAGGUCUUCAGACCUGUGCGCGAGACUUGCUUCGGUGAGUUUCGAUGAUUUCGGGGAAGACGACCAAACUUGA